UGGACCAGUGAGGCCAGCUGCUGGUGUGUAAGCAUUAGGUGAUGAAUAAUGCACCUCUGGAACUCUGAGGUCCAA